GUAGGUGGUUUGUUAAGCAAAUAAUGAAAUCGUGUGGCUCAACCAUAUCGACUAUUAUUUGAACUGGCAAACUCGAGAAUGAGAGAGGUGGCUGGAAUUCCCUGUGUAGGAGUGAAAUCCGUAGAUAUAGGGAGGAACACCGAUGGCGUAGGCAGGCCACUGGCUCAUUUCUGACACUGAGGCACGAAAGCGUGGGGAGCGAACGGGAUUAGAUACCCCGGUAGUCCACGCUGUAAACGAUGGAUGCUAGCUGUUAGGAGUAUCGACCCUUCUAGUAGCGAAGCUAACGCGUUAAGCAUCCCGCCUGGGGAGUAAGAACGCAAGUUUAAAACUCAAAGGGAUUGACGGGGACCCGCACAAGUGGUGGAGCGUGUUCUUUAAUUCGACGUUAAGCGAAGAACCUUACCAGGGCUUGACAUCCUUGGAGUCUCUGCGAAAGCAGAGAGUGCCUUCGGGAGCCAAGUGACAGGUGUUGCAUGGCCGUCGUCAGCUCGUGUCGUGAGAUGUUUGGUUAAGUCCAUCAACGAGCGCAACCCCUAUGUUUAGUUGAAUUUUUCUAAACAGACUGCCUCGGUAACGGGGAGGAAGGAGGGGACGACGUCAGGUCAUUAUUACCCUUACGUCCUGGGCUAGAAACGCGCUACAAUGGCCGGUACAAAGGGCAGCCAACCCGCAAGGGGGAGCAAAUCCCAUCAAAACCGGUCCCAGUGCGGAUUGCAGGCUGAAACUCGCCUGCAUGAAGCCGGAAUCACUAGUAAUCGUAGGUCAGCACACUACGGUGAAUACGUUCCCGGGUCUUGUACACACCGCCCGUCAAACCAUGGAAGUCACCAACACCCGAAGUCUGAAUUUAUUUCGGCCUAAGGUGGGGGGGAUAACUGGGGUU
rnacentral:rRNA from 1 species